rnacentral:lncRNA from 1 species
CGCCAUCAAGAAGAUAUUAUGAUAUAAGCAAAAGACAAAGCAAGUUGUCAAGUUUUGCAAUUUAUAAAAGUAUCACUACAUGAGCAAGCACCUAGUCAUGAAUCAUUCAACCAAGAAGCAAACUAGGCCAUCAGAGCUCAUACAAGGAAGAUACAUUCUCAACAAGAGAUCAUUGCAAACACUCACAUAUGCAUCACCAGUCAUGUCAAGGCUUGUUGAAACCAUGUGCCUAUUUCUUUU